GCUCCCAAGACCCAAAAAAAUCCAAAAUCUAAAAAAAUAAAAUAAAAGCCAUUAAUAAUAUUAAGUUUCCAUUUAUAGAUUACUUGAGAGAACCCAAACAAAAAAAACCAUAGUAUUUAUAUUUAUUUAUUAACUUUGAUUCUGCUGCCUUUCUGUUUCCAAAAUUUAAAGAAAAUUUUGGAAUUUUCCUUUGUUGAGAGAGAGAGACAAAGAUGGCGACGACGACAACAGCGAUGGCCGCCGAAACGGUACAGACUGGGAGUGUGGCGGCGGGAAGUGGUUUUAUGAAUGUGUCGCUUUACGUAGGGGAUCUAGAGCAGAACGUGGUUGAAGGGCAAUUGUAUGAUCUGUUUAGCCAAGUCGGAACGGUGGUUUCCCUCAAGGUUUGUCGUGAUCAGAAUAAGCGAUCUUCUCUUGGUUACGCUUAUGUCAAUUACAGCAAUCACCAAGAAGCUGCCCAUGCUAAGGAGAUUUUCAACUUCACCCUUAUCAAUGGGAAACCUAUCAGGAUUAUGUUUUCUCAACGCGAUCCUAGCAUUCGGAAGACUGGAUAUGCCAAUGUUUUUAUCAAGAACCUGGACCCAGCUAUUGAUAACAAGGCAUUGUUCGACACUUUUGCUGCCUUUGGGACUGUACUUUCUAGCAAGGUGGCUACUGAUAACAAUGGGCAAUCAAAAGGGUUUGGAUAUGUGCAGUUUGAAACUGAGGAAGCUGCACAGAAUGCAAUCAAAAGGUUAAAUGGUAUGCUGAUAAAUGAUAAACAAGUUUAUGUUGGACAACAUGUUCGACGCCAAGAACGUGUGCCACCCAAUGCGUCACCAAAGUUCAAUAAUGUUUAUGUUAAAAAUUUGUCUGAAACAAUAACUGAUGAGGACCUUAAGAAAGCUUUUGGAGCUUGUGGUACCAUCACCAGUGCAGUUGUCAUGAAGGACCAGAAUGGGAAGUCUAGAUGUUUCGGUUUUGUAAACUUUCAGAGCCCAGAUGCAGCUGCUGCCGCUGUUGAGAAGUUUAAUGGAACCAAAAAUGAUGACAAGAUGUGGUAUGUGGGAAGGGCUCAGAGGAAAGCAGAACGGGAGGCAGAGUUGAAAGCCAAAUUUGAGCAGGAGAGAAUCAGUAGAUAUGAAAAACUACAAGCUGCAAAUUUAUAUCUGAAAAAUCUUGAUGAUAGCAUUGACAUUGAGAAACUGAAGGAAAUAUUUUCUGAGUUUGGAACUAUUACCUCAUGCAAGAUUAUGCUUAAUCCACAAGGAGUGAGCAAGGGCACUGGAUUUGUUGCCUUUUGUACACCUGAAGAAGCUUCAAAAGCAUUGAUUGGGAUGAAUGGGAAGAUGAUUGGAAAGAAGCCUUUGUAUGUUGCUGUGGCACAACGCAAAGAAGAAAGGAAAGCUCGAUUACAGGCAUAUUUUGCUCAACUUCAUACACAUGGUGCAAUGUCGCCUUUGGCUUCGGGGAUUCCGGGAUUUCAUCCCGCUGCACAUAGGCUUGGUCCUCAGCAACUAUAUUAUGGUCAAGGUGGUCCGGGUCUAAUAAACCCCCAGUCUGCAAGAUAUGGUUUCCAACAGCAGCUCUUACCAGGAAUACGUCCUAGUGUCACCCAAAAUUACAUUAUGCCAUACAACCUUCAAAGACAAGGACCAUCAGGUCAGAGGAUGGGUGUUCGUCGAGGCGGAAACUCUCAACAGAUGCAGCAGCAACAGAUGCUGCACCGUAAUAACAAUCAAGGAUUUAGAUACAUGGGUAAUGCAAGAGACAUUGUGGACCCAUCUACAGUUACCCAAAGCAUUGUAGGUCCAGUCAUGGAAUUGCCAUUUGAGGUUUCAAGGAUGCCCGUAAACCCUAUUGAUGUUCAACAACCUAACCGGGUGCCUAUAUCAACACUCAUAUCUGAUUUAGCUUCUGCUUCCCCAAAAAAACGUGAUGAGAUGUUGGGAGAACAACUUUAUCCCCUGGUUCAGCGUUUUGAACCUGAACAUGCGGGCAAGGUGACUGGGAUGUUGCUGGAGAUGGACCAAACCGAGGUUCUCCAUCUGCUCGAGUCUCCAGAUGCUUUGAAGGAGAAGGUGGCUAAGGCAAUGGCUGUCCUUCAGGAUUCUGCAGCAGGAGAGUCUGGUGUCAGGAAGGAGUCGGGGGUCAUUGGAACUGACUGAAUGAAUGUCUCAGUACGGAGUUGGGGUCAUUGAACUGACUACAUGAAGUUCACCUAUUUCUAAUUGCAUUUCCCCCCUACUUAUGGCAUAUGCUGUAUUGUAGGAAAGCCCAACAUCCAUCAUCCAUGGCUCUAGCAGGUGGCAGAAGCUAGAUUCUGUUUCCAUCUGAUUAAUUUACAGAUUCUUGCUAUCAGUCAUGUAGUAAUAUGUUAUAGGCUCUGUUCGAUUUAAGUUUAGGGUUCUAUUUUGCUAGUUGCUUCCUGCAACCAAAAAUUUUCGCUAGUAGCAGAAAAUCAAUUAUCUGUUUUGAUCAUUUUCUGGAUGGAAAGAGAAAAAAGAACGUUAUUUUGGGUUGACUGCUUAUUUUUUGUUGAUCAAAUGUUGGAAAUUAUCAGAACUAACUCUUUUUAACUAAAGAACUUGUAAUGAAAUUAUGUGCCAUGUGAGUCAAAAUCAGCAGUUCAAAUCAAAUAGAGAAGCAAAUUUCUGCUUGCUGUUAGUAGUCUUGGGAGUGCUAUGUUUGACCAAAUGGAUAGAC